AUUGAACGCUGGCGGCAUGCUUUAUACAUGCAAGUCGAACGGUAACAGGCCGCAAGGUGCUGACGAGUGGCGAACGGGUGAGUAAUGCAUCGGAACGUGCCCAGUCGUGGGGGAUAACGCAGCGAAAGCUGCGCUAAUACCGCAUACGAUCUAUGGAUGAAAGCGGGGGACCGUAAGGCCUCGCGCGAUUGGAGCGGCCGAUGUCAGAUUAGGUAGUUGGUGGGGUAAAGGCUCACCAAGCCAACGAUCUGUAGCUGGUCUGAGAGGACGACCAGCCACACUGGGACUGAGACACGGCCCAGACUCCUACGGGAGGCAGCAGUGGGGAAUUUUGGACAAUGGGCGCAAGCCUGAUUCAGCAAUGCCGCGUGCAGGAAGAAGGCCUUCGGGUUGUAAACUGCUUUUGUACGGAACGAAACGGCUCUGGUUAAUACCUGGGGCUAAUGACGGUACCGUAAGAAUAAGCACCGGCUAACUACGUGCCAGCAGCCGCCGUAA
rnacentral:rRNA from 1 species